ACCCCGUCUCUACUAAAAAUACAAAAAAUUAUCCGGGCACGGUGGCGGGCGCCUGUAGUCCCAGAUACUCGGGAGGCUGAGGCAAGAGAAUGGCUUGAACCUGGGAGGCGGGGCUUGCAGUGAGCCGAGAUCACGCCACAGCACUCCAGCCUGGGCGACAGAGCGAGACUCUGUCUCAAAAAAAAAAAAAAAAAAAGCCAGGUGCAUUGGCGAGGGCUUGUAUUCCCAGCUAUUCAGGAGCCUGAGGCAGAAGGAUCACUUGAGCCCAAGAGUGUGAGGCUGCAGGGAGCAGUAAUUGCACCAGUGCACUCGAGCCUGGGCGACAGAGCAAGAUCUGUCUCAAAACAAAUAAAUAAAAAUAAAUAAAUUAUUUUGAAAAAGUAAAUACUGUCUAAUGUUAGCACUAUGUAAAAAAGAGGUUUAAAAGAUAAGCUCGGCCGGGCGUGGUGGCUCAUGCCUG
rnacentral:lncRNA from 1 species